GACAGAGGGUGCAAACGUUGUUCGGAAUUACUGGGCGUAAAGGGCGCGUAGGCGGCCUGCUAAGUCGAACGUGAAAUCCCCGAGCUCAACUCGGGAACUGCGUCCGAUACUGACAGGCUUGAAUCCGGGAGAGGUGAGUGGAAUUCCUGGUGUAGCGGUGAAAUGCGCAGAUAUCAGGAGGAACACCGAUGGCGAAGGCAGCUCGCUGGGACGGUACUGACGCUGAGGCGCGAAAGCGUGGGGAGCAAACAGG
rnacentral:rRNA from 1 species